AGCGAACGCUGGCGGCGUGCCUAACACAUGCAAGUCGAACGUGAAAGGGAGCAAUCCCAAGUAAAGUGGCGUACGGGUGAGUAACACGUAGGUAAUCUACCCCAGAAUCUGGAAUAACCGGCCUAAAGGCUGGCUAAUACUGGAUAGAGCGACGGAAUCCGUAAUUGGGUUUUUCGGGUAAGGGAGCCUGUAAAAAGGCCUUCGUUCUGGGAUGAGCCUGCGUCCCAUCAGCUAGUUGGUGAGGUAAAGGCUUACCAAGGCAAUGACGGGUAGCUGGUCGGAGAGGACGAUCAGCCACACUGGAACUGAAACACGGGCCAGACGCCUACGGGAGGGAGCAGUGGGGAAUCUUGCGCGAUGGACGAAAGUCUGACGGAGCGACGCGGCGUGGGUGAAGAAGGCCUUCGGGUUGUAAAGCUCUGUCGAGUGGGACGAAAAUGCUUGGAGUUCAGAGCUUCAGGAACUGACGGUACCACUAAAGGAAGCACGGGCUAACUCCGUG
rnacentral:rRNA from 1 species